GGUCAUUGAAAAGAAUAAGCAGCAACAUAACCCCAUUUCUUUAUUUAUAUAAAUUUGCAUGAACCAGAACUUGAUGUACCAAAAUAAAAAGAAGUAUAAUCUAUAAAACACAGAAUGAAAUGACAUAUUAAUAUGACAAAUCCUAAGGCAUGAAAGCAGAAAAAUGAAUAGGGGUACUUGUGCGGUUAAGAGUACCAAGAGGCAGUGAGUUUCUCUCUUGAACAAUGACCACUGCUUCUGCCACUGCAAUAACAAACUCUAUGGCUAUUCUCACCAUAGUUAUGCAUAAUUCUAUUCUAUGGAUCACCAUCACUCCAAUUUUCUUCUAUUCUCUGCUCUUCUCUUAUAUUCUCUUGCUUUUGUGUUGUGUUGUGCUUUUGAUGAUUAUUCUAUCAGAAACUGGAACUGGAUGAGGCUUUAAAUGUUGUAUAGUACAACGUCACUGUUUCUUCCACUUUCAAUCAACCUUUUAAUAAAUAUGUAAAUCUUUUUUUAUCAUGAUGUGUCAUUUAUGAUCAAAUCACUAAUAAAAUAAAGUAUAACAUUUGUAAUAUAUAUUACUAUACUAUCAUAUAUU
rnacentral:lncRNA from 1 species